UAAAAGUAAAUCUUUGUAUGGAUUUGGAACGCUUGCAUAAGUUUGUCGCUAGGGGCGUUUUUCUAACUGUAUACAAAUUUGAGUUA
rnacentral:pre_miRNA from 1 species